CCGCCAUUCCGAAUUGUAGUCUGUAGAAUCGUCCUCAGCGAUGGACCGGACCCAAGUCCCCUGGAAGGUGGCGCCAGAGAGGGUGAGAGCCCCAUAGUGUCCGGACCCUGUCGCACCAUGAGGCGCUGUCGGCGAGUCGGGUUGUUAGGGAAUACAGCCCCAAUCGAGCAGAAAAUUUCGUCCAAGGCUAAAUACUGGCGAGAGACCAAUAGGGAACAAGUACCACGAGGGAAAGAUGAAAAGGACUUUGAAAAGAGAGUCAAAGAGUGCUUGAAAUUAUCGGGAGGGUGCGCGGACCGAUGCGGAUUGUGGAGGUGACCCAAGCCUAGGCGUCCUCGGAUGCCCAUGGAGAUGUCGUCCCGGUGAUUGUGGUGGGCAGCACGCACCCUACGGCGUGCCUCGGCAACUGCGUGCUCCCGGCGUCGGCAGUUGGGCUCCCCAUUUGGCCCAUCUUGAAACACGGACCAUGGAGUCUUACAUGUGUGCGAGUCAGUGGGUGAGUAAAUUAGUGAGGCGCAAGGAAGCUAAUUGGCGGGAUCUCCCUGUGGGUUGCACCGUCGACCGACCUAGAUCUUCUGUGAAGGGUUCGAGUGUGAGCAUACCUGUCGGGACCCGAAAGAUGGUGAACUAUGCCUGAGCGAGGCGAAGCCCGAGGAAACUCUGGUGGAGAUCCGCAGCGAUACUGACGUGCAAAUCGUUCGUCUGACUUGGGUAUAGGGGCAAAAGACUAAUCGAACCAUCUAGUAGCUGGUGCCCUCCGAAUUUUCCCCCAGGAUAGCUGGAGUUCACGGGCGAGUUCUAUCAGGUAAAGCCAAUGAUUAGAGGCAUCGGAGGCGCAACGCCCUCAACCUAUUCUCAAACUUUAAAUAGGUAG
rnacentral:rRNA from 1 species